AAAGUCAUAUUCAUUGUGUUGUUGUAUCAUCCAAAAUUGCAAGUAACCGUGCGUACUGCUGCUGCUGUACCUCAUUCGAAUUUUGAAAGAAAUUGAAAUAUCGUUCUUAUUUUGCCUUGACAAUCAACGCAGUCUAUUAUUUCAAUAAACCUUUCAAAACACAACAAACAUGGAUACCAUGGACAAUACUUUCGGUAAUUAUUCCAUCUUGGGGGCUCACACUGCCAGGCCAAAGAAUUUCAAAGAAACUUAUCAUCCAGUUCAACAAAACUUGAGAAAUUACAAAGCAAAAGAAAAUAGA